UUUGAUAGUACCUUACUACUUGGAUAACCGUGGUAAUUCUAGAGCUAAUACAUGCUAAAAACCCCAACUUCGGAAGGGGUGUAUUUAUUAGAUAAAAAACCAACGCCCUUCGGGGCUCCUUGGUGAUUCAUAAUAACUAAACGAAUCGCAUGGCCUUGCGCCGGCGAUGGUUCAUUCAAAUUUCUGCCCUAUCAACUUUCGAUGGUAGGAUAGUGGCCUACCAUGGUAUCAACGGGUAACGGGGAAUUAGGGUUCUAUUCCGGAGAGGGAGCCUGAGAAACGGCUACCACAUCCAAGGAAGGCAGCAGGCGCGCAAAUUACCCAAUCCCGACACGGGGAGGUAGUGACAAUAAAUACUGAUACAGGGCUCUUUUGGGUCUUGUAAUUGGAAUGAGUACAAUUUAAGUCCCUUAACGAGGAACAAUUGGAGGGCAAGUCUGGUGCCAGCAGCCGCGGUAAUUCCAGCUCCAAUAGCGUAUAUUAAAGUUGUUGCAGUUAAAAAACUCGUAGUUGAACCUUGGGCCUGGCUGGCCGGUCCGCCUCACCGCGUGUACUGGUCCGGCCGGGCCUUUCCUUCUGGGGAGCCGCAUGCCCUUCACUGGGCGUGUCGGGGAACCAGGACUUUUACUUUGAAAAAAUUAGAGUGUUCAAAGCAGGCCUUUGCUCGAAUACAUUAGCAUGGAAUAAUAGAAUAGGACGUGCGGUUCUAUUUUGUUGGUUUCUAGGACCGCCGUAAUGAUUAAUAGGGAUAGUCGGGGGCAUCAGUAUUCAAUUGUCAGAGGUGAAAUUCUUGGAUUUAUUGAAGACUAACUACUGCGAAAGCAUUUGCCAAGGAUGUUUUCAUUAAUCAGUGAACGAAAGUUAGGGGAUCGAAGACGAUCAGAUACCGUCGUAGUCUUAACCAUAAACUAUGCCGACUAGGGAUCGGGCGAUGUUAUCAUUUUGACUCGCUCGGCACCUUACGAGAAAUCAAAGUCUUUGG
rnacentral:rRNA from 1 species